UAGGGAUGACAGGAUUUGAACCUGCGACAUUUUGUACCCAAAACAAAUGCGCUA
rnacentral:tRNA from 2 species